AAAGCAGCGAAGUCGUGAGGCGGAGCAAAUCUCGAAAACCGGUCCCAGUUCGGACUGCAGGCUGCAACUCGCCUGCACGAAGCCGGAGUUGCUAGUAAUCGCGGAUCAGAAUGCCGCGGUGAAUGCGUUCCCGGGUCUUGUACACACCGCCCGUCACACCAUGGAAGUUGGGGGCGCCCGAAGCCACUUAGCUAACCCUUUUGGGAAGCGAGUGUCGAAGGUGAAAUCAAUAACUGGGGUGAAGUCGUAACAAGGUAAC
rnacentral:rRNA from 1 species